UGCGCUGUAAGACACAACCAUUUACAUCUUCAUUGGACUUUUGCAGCCUGCGUUUCGCGGCCACCUUGUCAGGGAUCCGCGUUCUGACCUCUUAGGAUAAGACCACAUGUACCCCAGUUAUAUAGCCAAUUCACUGUAUGAUUGCAAUUCUGGACGCUUGCUUUUGCAGUGGCAGUUGCGCCAGCUUGGGACAGCCUGAUGUUAUGGUGCAGGCUCCUACCGAAAUUCGCCUUGUUUAGAAAUUCUCUAUUAUUAAUUUAAAUUUCAAGGGCGAUGCAAGGUAAGUCACAUGGCGAGUUACUUCUAUUCCUGCUUGGCACCUACCUUAAGCUACCUUUGACCUGGGCGACCUUGAUGCAUCCGCCUCGACCUUGAUGCAUCACACCCGUAGCCGCCACGUUAAAGUGUCCUCGGGUACCAACGCCCGGCGAGGGGCCGGCGCUACACCCCGCAGUAUGCCACCAGACAGCUGAGGGGAGGAGUAUGGAGCCACGUCUAAACUCCUUUGUGCGCGUGCAGACCAAUAUGUGCACAUUUCCUGGGUAUGCGGAGGUUAUCAAGUGGUCUUGCAACUGAAAAAUGGUGGAGGCCGUAAUGUGAGUCCGGUUGUGUACCUUUUUCUAGUGUCUAUUGUCACGGUAGACCUUCCGUAUAUCAGUAUUUUCCUACCAAGUCGCAUGGCGCCAACCGCGACGCGCACUUACUAAAAUAAUAAUAAUAAUAAUGAAUAAUAAUUACAAUAAUAAUAUAAUCAGGAAGCUAACUUGAAUCAUUUCCUAGGCCACAUGGAACCCGCAAGCAUUUAUAAUAAAUUCGUAUGAACACGGUUCUUCCGCCAAGCAGCAUCACUCGACCAAUCGCGACUCCCGACGCAACGGCAGAGUUCUCAGGGGAUCUGUUUUCACGAAUCGUAUCUUAUCGCGCAGCUCCCUUUCGGCCCAGAUCGCUGGUUCAUCUCUUGGUGGUCACGCAAAGGGCUCACAAAGGUCGCCCGCCACCACCGACCAUCUACGGCAAAGCCUCAAGCUGCAGCAGAUCUGCAGUCCCUGACGGGAUACGGCUGACCCAAUUUCCUUGUGAGACAUGGCUUUCAAAGAUGGGCGCAGGCGCCGCGAAGGAUGGCCAUCAAGCGAGUGCUACUGAAUGUUGUCCAUUCGUAACGUAUCUGCAACGAGCCCUUUAAAACAAG
rnacentral:lncRNA from 1 species